rnacentral:rRNA from 1 species
GACUGUAGGCUGCAACUCGCCUACACGAAGUUGGAAUUGCUAGUAAUCGUGGAUCAGCAUGCCACGGUGAAUACGUUCCCGGGUCUUGUACACACCGCCCGUCACACCAUGGGAGCUGGUAACACCCGAAGUCAGUAGUCUAACCGCAAGGAGGACGCUGCCGAAGGUGGGAUUAGCGACUGGGGUGAAGUCGUAACAAGGUAGC